UCCAGCCUGGGUGACAGAGUGAGACUCCACCUCAAAAAAAGAAGAAGAAAAAGAAUUUUGUCUUUCUCUGUAUAUGUCUACUUUAUGGAGCUACGCCAUUCUGGGAAAACACAGUUGGCACCACGUGAAAAGGCGCCCCCAUCACCACAUUCACAAGGAAUGAGAUCAGGAGUUUAAAAGGCACCCUCACUGCCUCCCAUCCACCUCCCCCACCCUCAUCUGGCCCUGUCUUCCUACCACGUGUGUCCUCUCCUCCUUCCUUCAGUUUCACACAAGACCCAAUUCUCUCCGCCCCCGGCAUGGUUUGCCUCCUGGUUGUGUCUCCAGGUUUGCUCCUUGACUCAGCCCAUUCCUGGACAACGACAGCUCCUUCCAUGGCUUGACUUAGCUGCCUGGACCUCGCCUUCCAGGUCUUCUGAAGCAGUUCACCCCACCCCUAGUCCCUCCUUCCAGGAAUGAACUUGUGUAAUAUUCUCUCUGAUCCUUUUGCUGUUAUGUAUAAGGAUUGGGUUUUCAUCCCUAUGAGUGAGAUGCAGGCCCUCUAACAUUAUUACAUGUUAGCACAUUACCCAUCUGACAUGAGAAAAAGAAUUCUCCCUUGCUUCAAAACGCUUUGGCAAAUUCUCAUCUACAUCUAUGUGGAAAACAAACACCAAGAGGAAGUAGAGAUAAUGAGUGUGGACAACCCAUGUGAAAAGUUCAGGCUAAUGAGAUUCCUGCCCGUAGGAGAAAGGAUAAAAUCACAAGGUGGCGCCAUUGUCUCCAGAUGUCAAGGUCUUCUGGAUGGCAGGUACCCUUAAAAGAAUGCAGACAAACUCUUCUAUGGAAAUUUAAAGGAGCAUAAGCCUUCUUCCAGUAUAGGGAGAGAACCAAGGAAGACUUCCUGAAGGAAGUGGCCUUUGAGUGGGCCUUGGAUCAUGUGGAGAUCAGGGGUGAGAGUAUUCCGGGCGAAGAGUCCAGCGUAGGGAAGGCUCAUAGGCAGGAACUGUGCCAUAUUAAUGCUGUCUUAGAGAUAUAUCCAUUGCCGGAAACAGAUACUCAAAUUACUUCGAAUAGAGAAUUGAAAAGGUUUCUAUGAACACCUCCAGAACUGUGGUUCUCAAAGUGCAAUCCCUGGGCCAGCAGCAUCACCUGGGAACUUGUUAGAAAUGCAGAUUCUCAGAUUCCACCCCAGAGCCUUUGAAUCAGAAAGGAACCCCAGGAACUGGUGGUAGCAGCCCUCUUGCAGGCCCUCCAGGUGAUUCUCAUCCAGGGAAGCUUGGGAACCCCUGGGAUGGAAUAUUCUCAGGAACCCCUGCUUUGUGAAGAACUGAUGACAUAGGCUGUUUCUAGGGAGGAAAUGGGGCUGCUGGGUGCACAGGUGAGGGAGGUAGGAGGCCUUGUAAUUGUGUACCAUGUGUGUAUAUUACCUAUUAAGAAAAUGAAAAACUAAUGUGUUUAAUCCCCUGUCUUUCCCCAUCUACUUCUCUCCUACCCUAUAGCUGCUCCUCCACCUCCCUCCUCAGAAGGUGUUCGGUUCCUGGGUAAGCUGGUUUUCUGUUCUCCCUUCCCCACUCUUCUCUUGCCUGGUCUUUAUUACAAGGUGCGCCAAGCCUCAUAAGGACAGUUGAAAAGAACAGAAGAGAGACUGCGCUAAUGGCUGUAGAAUUCUGCCAGGAGAGCUGGAGGUGGGCAGGAAGUCUAUCAAUUCAACCAUGCUAAUAAUUUCAGUUGGUAAUUAAGAGUAAGCCCAUCUCUACCCCCUUUUCAGUUAUCAAAUAUGCAUUGUUUUCCUCUUGUGUUGGCCUUUUGUGUCUGUUUCACUCUCACCUUGACUCGGCCCCCGUGAGCUAACUCCAGCCAUAGAGAAACCAUGGAGAGGUUUGUCCAGUGUCUGGAAGAUGGAUUGACUGCUGAAAUAGGAGCAAAAAGAACCUCCUAGCAGGUCAGCCGUACCCAAAGACAGCCACGUGGAAAUGGACAGUGGUGCAAGGACAAGUGUCCAGCAGAGCAGGCAGCAAACGCCCCAGGUGCCAUAACUCCUUAAAGGCCCAAGUAUCUCUGCUGACCCAGUGAGUGCCCCUCAGCUUGUGGUGUGAGACUGAGCUUAUAGAUCCCACCUCAACUCGAGAAACUCAAUGCAGUGAUGAGCUGAUUUAUAGAGUUUGCCAGUUCCUGUGGUGUAAAUACUCAUAGCAUGGCCAGUUUCUGGCUACCAACAUGAAGUCACUGAACCCAAAGUUGGGAAGAGAUUUACCUAACAGGGGACAUAGUUAAUGGACUUCAUAGAGAAAGCUACUAAACCAUAUGUGCCCCUGGGGUCCAGAAAUCCACUUCUGGUUGGAACUGACCUAUAUGGUGCCAAGUGUGCAUCUUCUAGGGGGACACUAACAUUUGUGUGUCCUCCUCUGGUCUUGCAGCAAGCCUCUUCCCUAAGGGCCUUUGACUAACAUUUGCUACAUUUUGUAUUCAUUGAGAGUCUGGGUGUGGUCGCUUAUGUCUGUAAUCCCAGCACUUUGGGAGGCGGAGGCAGGCAGAUCACUUGAGGUCAGGAGUUCGAGACUAGCCUGACCAACAUGACAAAACCUUUUCUCCACUAAAAAUACAAAAA